GUGGGGGUGGAUUACCUCCUUUCUAUGGAGUAUAUUAAUACACUAACACGAUAUACACCUGUUACAUAUAACGGUGAAACAAUUAAAACCCAGCAAGAAAAGUUAAACCCAUAAAAGCAAAUUGAUAACUUAAAAAUUGUUGGUCGGAUUCUAUUCAGUUCUCAAGGGGUAUUUUAAAAGCAGUUAUUAAGUUUUUUCUUUAAAGCUUUUUAACUUAAUAACACUUUAAGUUAACCUUGUAAACAUCAUUAAGUUUACCUUUCAAAGAUCCAAGAACAAUUAUUAAAACCUUUUUGGUCAGAUAACUAAUAAACUAACUAACUAGAUCAUUGAUGCAUAAUUAACUGCAUCAAUGAUUUUUUUUAUUAUUUUUACUGCAAAAAAUGCAGAUUUAUCUGUUCAAACCAAUGAUUUAAAAAGGCUUUUUUUUAUUAUUAAUCAUUGGUUAUUUUUUACUUGUGAUU
rnacentral:misc_RNA from 1 species